rnacentral:rRNA from 1 species
CCUACGGGCGGCUGCAGUGAGGAAUAUUGGUCAAAGGGCGCGAGCCUGAACCAGCCAAGUAGCGUGAAGGAUGACUGCCCUACGGGUUGUAAACUUCUUUUAUAAAGGAAUAAAGUGAGGCACGUGUGCCUUUUUGUAUGUACUUUAUGAAUAAGGAUCGGCUAACUCCGUGCCAGCAGCCGCGGUAAUACGGAGGAUCCGAGCGUUAUCCGGAUUUAUUGGGUUUAAAGGGAGCGUAGAUGGGUUGUUAAGUCAGUUGUGAAAGUUUGGGGCUCAACCGUAAAAUUGCAAUUGAUACUGGCGGUCUUGAGUACAGGUGAGGUAGGCGGAAUUCGUGGUGUAGCGGUGAAAUGCUUAGAUAUCACGAAGAACUCCGAUUGCGAAGGCAGCUUACUAAACUGCCACUGACAUUGAUGCUCGAAAGUGUGGGUAUCAAACAGGAUUAGAUACCCUUGUAGUC